rnacentral:lncRNA from 1 species
UUAUACUCCGUUUUUCCCGGUUUUUCCCCCAUUUUCCUGCCCAUUACCCCAUUUUUCCACAUUUAUCUUCCACUUUUCCAAUUUUUACCCCGUUUUUCCACCAUUUUCUCACCAUUUUCCCACAUUUAUUCUCCGUUUUUCCUGGUUUUCCUGGUUUUCCUGCCCAUUAUCCCGUUUUUCCACAUUUAUCUUCCACUUUUCUAAUUUUCCCCCCGUUUUCCCACCACUUUCUCACCAUUUUUCCACGUUUAUACUCCGUUUUUCCCGGUUUUUCCCCCAUUUUCCUGCCCAUUACCCCAUUUUUCCACAUUUAUCUUCCACUUUUCCAAUUUUUACCCCGUUUUUCCACCAUUUUCUCACCAUUUUCCCACAUUUAUUCUCCGUUUUUCCUGGUUNNNNNNNNNNNNNNNNNNNNNNNNNNNNNNNNNNNNNNNNNNACAUUUAUCUUCCACUUUUCCUAUUUUUACCCCGUUUUCCCACCACUUUCUCACCAUUUUUCCACCGUUUUUCCCGGUUUUUCCUCGUUUUCCUGCCCCUUAUCGCGUUUUUCCACGUUUAUCCUCCGUUUUUCCACUUUUUACCCCAUUUUCCUGCCCAUUACCCUGUUUUUCCACAUUUAUCUUCCACUUUUCCUAUUUUUACCCCGUUUUCCCACCACUUUCUCACCAUUUUUCCACCGUUUUUCCCGGUUUUUCCUCGUUUUCCUGCCCCUUAUCGCGUUUUUCCACGUUUAUCCUCCGUUUUUCCACUUUUUACCCCAUUUUCCUGCCCCUCAUCCCGUUUUUCCACAUUUAUCUUCCACUUUUCCCAUUUUUACCCCGUUUUUCCACCAUUUUCUCACCAUUUUCCCACAUUUAUUCUCCGUUUUUCCUGGUUUUUCCUCGUUUUCCUGCCCCUCAUCCCGUUUUUCCACGUUUAUCUUCCACUUUUUCCCCUUUUUACCUCAUUUUCUCACCAUUUUUCCACGUUUAUCCUCCGUUUUUCCUGGUUUUUCCUCAUUUUCCUGCCCAUUAUCCCGUUUUUCCACGUUUAUCUUCCACUUUUUCCCCUUUUUACCUCAUUUUCUCACCACUUUCUCACCAUUUUUUCUCCAUUUUUCCCGGUUUUUCCUCGUUUUCCUGCCCCUUAUCCCGUUUUUCCAUGUUUAUCCUCCGUUUUUCCACUUUUUACCCCAUUUUCCUGCCCCUCAUCCCGUUUUUCCACAUUUAUCUUCCACUUUUCCAAUUUUUACCCCGUUUUCCCACCACUUUCUCACCAUUUUUCCACGUUUAUCCUCCGUUUUUCCUGGCUUUUCCUCGUUUUCCUGCCCAUUAUCCCGUUUUUCCACGUUUAUCUUCCACUUUUUCCCCUUUUUACCCCGUUUUCCCACCAUUUUCUCACCAUUUUUCCACGUUUAUCCUCCGUUUUUCCUGGUUUUUCCUCGUUUUCCUGCCCCUUACCCAUUUUUCCACAUUUUGUCUCCAUUUUUCCCAUUUCCCACCAUUUUCCUGCCCUUCAUCCCAUUUUUCCACCAUUUUCCCGCCAUUUCCCAUGUUUAUUCUCCAUUUUCCUGUUUUUUACCCCAUUUUCCUGCCCAUUUUCCACAUUUUUUCUCCAUUUCUCCUGUUUUUUACCCCAUUUUCCUGCCCCUUACCCCAUUCUUCCACAUUUUUCCUCCAUUUUUCCCAUUUUUCCCUCAUUUUUCUGCCCCUCAUCCCAUUUUCCCCAGUUUUUAUCCCACAUUUUUCCCGUUUUAACCCCGUUUUCCUGCCCCUUAUCCCGUUCUCCCACAUUUUUUCUCCAUUUUUCCCAUUUUCCCCCCUAUUUUCCUACCCCUUAUCCCAUUUUUCCAGGUUUUUCCACAUUUAUUCUCCAUUUUUCACAUUUUUACCCCAUUUCCCUGCCCAUUUUCUCAUUCUUCCACCAAUUUUUCUAUUUAUCCUGCAUUUAUCCCAUUUUUACCCCGUUUUCUUGCCCAUUAUCCCGUUCUUCCACCUUUAUUCUCCAUUUUUCCCAUUUUCCCCAUUUUCCACAUUUUUACCCCAUUUUCCUGCCCAUCAUCCCAUUUUUCCCAGUUUUUAUCCCACAUUUUUCCCAUUUUCACCCCGUUUUCUUGCCCAUUAUCCCAUUUUUCCACCUUUAUCCUCCAGUUUUUCCCGUUUUUCCCCGUUUUCCUGCCCCUCACCCCGUUUUCCCACCGUUUUUCCCGUUUUUCCUCAAUUUUUCCCGUUUUCCACCCCCUUUUCCUGCCCCUCGUCCCGUUUCU